AUUGAACGCUGGCGGCAGGCCUAACACAUGCAAGUCGAACGCGUGGGGCACGGGUGUGUAAUGUCUGAGAAAGUGUCUUAUGGAGGGGGAUAACUACUGGAAACGGUCGCUUAUACCGCAUACCCUCGGAUGUGCCCAGAGGGGAUUAGCUAGUAGGUGGGGUAAAGGCUCACCUAGGCCACGACCCCUAGCUGGUCUGAGAGGAUGACCAGCCACACUGGAACUGAGACACGGUCCAGACUCCUACGGGAGGCAGCAGUGGGGAAUAUUGCACAAUGGGCGCAAGCCUGAUGCAGCCAUGCCGCGUGUAUGAAGAAGGCCUUCGGGUUGUAAAGUACUUUCAGCGGGGAGGCGUUACCCGCAGAAGAAGCACCGGCUAACUCCGUGCCAGCAGCCGCGGUAAUUC
rnacentral:rRNA from 1 species